rnacentral:lncRNA from 1 species
UUUACUUAAUAAACUUGAAACUUUUAUUAAAAUCAUGCAAACUUUUUCUAAAAAUUGAAAGUAUACAUACAUAAACAAGCUUGAAAGCAUAACUCACUAUUUUUUGCUUAAAAUACAAGUCCAAAUAUUUGAUAACAUGUAUUCAUUCUUGCUCAUCAACCAUAAUAACUAUUCUUGGAAAUGUAUAAAGUAAGAAAAUCAUUUUUCUUUAUUCACCACAACAACAUUAAUAUUUCAGAGUUCUCUCCAUCGCUAACUCGGUGCCAACGAUCUCAAUUCAUUUUUGAGACUCAAUGAGCCAACUACAUAAACAUAAAGAUUCAUAACAAUUAGUUCACCAUCAAGAUCUAUCCAACUACAUCAUAAUUCUAAAAUUAAAUCAUUUUCGC